rnacentral:rRNA from 1 species
UUGAACGCUGGCGGCAGGCCUAACACAUGCAAGUCGAACGGUAACAGGAAACAGCUUGCUGUUUCGCUGACGAGUGGCGGACGGGUGAGUAAUGUCUGGGAAACUGCCUGAUGGAGGGGGAUAACUACUGGAAACGGUAGCUAAUACCGCAUAACGUCGCAAGACCAAAGAGGGGGACCUUCGGGCCUCUUGCCAUCGGAUGUGCCCAGAUGGGAUUAGCUAGUAGGUGGGGUAACGGCUCACCUAGGCGACGAUCCCUAGCUGGUCUGAGAGGAUGACCAGCCACACUGGAACUGAGACGCGGUCCAGACUCCUACGGGAGGCAGCAGUGGGGAAUAUUGCACAAUGGGCGCAAGCCUGAUGCAGCCAUGCCGCGUGUAUGAAGAAGGCCUUCGGGUUGUAAAGUACUUUCAGCGGGGAGGAAGGGAGUAAAGUUAAUACCUUUACUCAUUGACGUUACCCGCAGAAGAAGCACCGGCUAACUCCGUG